rnacentral:rRNA from 1 species
UACGUAGGUGGCGAGCGUUGUCCGGAUUUACUGGGCGUAAAGGGAGCGUAGGCGGACUUUUAAGCGAGAUGUGAAAUACUCGGGCUCAACUUGAGUGCUGCAUUUCAAACUGGAAGUCUAGAGUGCAGGAGAGGAGAAAGGAAUUCCUAGUGUAGCGGUGAAAUGCGUAGAGAUUAGGAAGAACACCAGUGGCGAAGGCGAUUCUCUGGACUGUAACUGACGCUGAGGCUCGAAAGCGUGGGGAGCAAACAGG